rnacentral:rRNA from 1 species
UGUCCCUAUCUACUAUCUAGCGAAACCACUGCCAAGGGAACGGGCUUGGAAAAAUCAGCGGGGAAAGAAGACCCUGUUGAGCUUGACUCUAGUCUGACAUUGUGAAAAGACAUGAGAGGUGUAGCAUAAGUGGGAGAUGCGGUCCCUCCGGACUACCACUAAAUUUAUCUAUUUUUUACUUUUCUUUACUUACUUGGUUAGGCCGAGGGCGCACGCUUCGGGUAUUUCGCCCCGUCGUGACGGGCUUCUCGCGCCAAGCGUUCAAGGGUGGCCGGCGGACAGAGGUGCGGGCUGCUCUUCGGCGAGACGGGUAACCUGGCUUGCCGGGCCACGGCCCGGCAGAGGCUGCGGCACUAUCUGCCACCGACAGGCCAACAUUCCUUAGAGUGAUCCGAUCCAAGGACACUGCCAGGCGGGGAGUUUGACUGGGGCGGUACAUCUGUCAAAGAAUAACGCAGGUGUCCUAAGGCCUACUCAGUGAGGACAGAAACUUCGCGUACAGCAAAAUGACAAAUGCUGGCCUGAUCCCUAUGUCCAGUACGCAUCUGCACUGCGAGAGCACGGCCUAUCGAUCCUUUUGGCUUGAAGAGUUUUCAGCAAGAGGUGUCAGAAAAAGUUACCACAGGGAUAACUGGC